UCCGAAGUGACUCCCGCUGCUUCCAGCAGUCACCUGCUGGACAGAGACCGUCACACGGGCCCCUUCACGCAGUGGGGUGGGAAGGGAGAUCCUACCGCGUACCUGGAAGACGGGAGAACAGGGGUGUUUCGGUCAGUCCUUGUAGCACGGCCGGGACUUAAGCUCUGAACCACCAGUGAGGAGGUCGUUGGUCUGAGCCUGCUUUUCCAAGUCCUAUCUUCCCUUCUUGGGUUCAGACAGCAGAUCCGACUGUAAGUGGCUUUAAAGAGACAGCAGACAUGUUUGUGGCAGUUUAUUCAUUGCCCCUGGA
rnacentral:lncRNA from 1 species